AAUUCCCCGAGCCUGAAAUGUGAAGAAAUGAGGGUGGUGAGAUUAUAAAAUCCCAGUGAGUAAACAGAUACCAUCUAAACUAUCUAAAGUUGAGUAAAUGGAGACAAUUAAAAUAAAUCAUCAUACUGUAAUUUCAUUACCUUUCAACUCAUUUUAACCAAAUAAAAUCAAUCCAUAAAAAUCGAGUAAUCAACUUGGCUUAUGAAUUUCUUAAAACUUUGGCUCGUGCCAAAACUCAUACUCGGUGAUACCUUGCGCAAGGCAUCCAACCGAGUUCGCCAAGGCUGUUAAAAUUUCAUAUAAACUUAAAAUAUAUUUUUAGUUUGAGAAAAAUACAGUCGUUCCUUGGCGUUGGCUGAGUUCCCCUUCACGUGGUGGUUUGGCGUGAAGUGAACCCUAAGCUUUACCCCAGGAGAUACCCUACACGCCUCUCCGUUCGAGGUAAAAAUAUAAUGGAGUUUACCGUUCCCUUCUAAUAGGCUGGUCCACGGAACCCCCUCUACAGUAAAUAAUUAAUAUAUAAUCCACCAAUCAAUAAAAUUCAUUCUAGCAUGACAUGACAAUUUAUCGCAACCUAGCCUCUCAAUGCUAAAUACACAGUAUAAAUAAUUCUAACACCAAAAUCAAUUUAGCCAUUCAUGCUCAUUUAUUAUCAUAAGCCAUUCAAUUCAAAACCAUAAAUUUGCAACACAAACUAGCAGUCUCCAAUUACUCUAUUUUCAAAACCAAUAUUCGAUUUUCUAGAAAAUUUAUAAACUCAUUUUAUAAAAUUACAAUUUCUCUUAAAACAUAGCAAUUUACCAUUUAAACCCAU
rnacentral:lncRNA from 1 species